UGGGCAACCUGCCCCAGACUCAGGGAUAACCCCGGGAAACCGGGGCUAAUACCCGAUACUCCGAUCGAACCACAUGGCUCGAUCGGGAAAGCUCCGACGGUCUGGGAUGGGCCCGCGGCCUAUCAGCUUGUUGGUGGGGUAACGGCCUACCAAGGCGACGAUGGGUAGCUGGUCUGAGAGGACGACCAGCCACACUGGAACUGAGAUACGGUCCAGACUCCUACGGGAG
rnacentral:rRNA from 1 species